rnacentral:rRNA from 1 species
UACGGAGGGUGCAAGCGUUAUCCGGAUUUACUGGGUUUAAAGGGUGUGUAGGCGGACUAUUAAGUCAGCGGUGAAAUCUCCGGGCUCAACCCGGAACUGCCAUUGAUACUAUUAGUCUUGAAUGUUGUUGAGGUGGGCGGAACGGGUCAUGUAGCGGUGAAAUGCAUAGAUAUGACCCGGAACACCGAUUGCGAAGGCAGCCCACUAAGCAA